rnacentral:tRNA from 1 species
GUUUUUAUAGUGUAUAAAACAUUUUACUUUUUCGUUGUAAAGCUGAAAUAUAAUGAUUUCUAAAAACA